CUAAACUAUACUAAAAGCUAAAUAUAAAGCCCUCUGAAGCAUGCCACGUCGGAUGAAAAAAUCGUCCAGUAGUAAUGCAGCAAAUAGCCACGUCAUCGGCGUGUUAAGUUGGUUUGGGCUUCGUGUUUUAUUAGGGCUUCUUCUCUUACUUUUAGCCAACCCUUCUCUGACGCUAAAGCCUCCUCCUCCGAUGAAUCUCCUGUAACGCCUUCUUACUCCAUUGAUUUGCCCCUUAAAUCCGUUCAUUUACUAGCUUCAUCCCACUCCUCCCACUCUAUAGCAUGUAACCGACCUCACCAUCUUCAUAUGUAACCGGCCGCCAUUACCAGGAAAGCUAUCAAAGAGAUGAAAAUCUUCAGAAAAGUACACCUAGCUUCUCGGCCCAAUGACGAGCUCCAACAACAAGAAGAACACACAAGCGAAUGAUUUUGAAGAUAUCAGUGAGAUUAUUAAAGCACUAAACAUCUCGACGGAUGACUUUGCUAUUAGAACGACCAGAUUCUGGAAAAUCAACUUUGCUCCUGGUUCUAGCAGAUAAAAGUUUAAAGGUUAGUUAACCCAUGAAGUUAUUUAAUAUGCUCUAAUAUUCACAUGAAUCGUAUGUUUGAUAUCUUUUUUUAAUUUAAUGGUCACAUGUGUAUUAAAAGGUUUUAUUUUUCAGAUAAAAUUAGCCUUUUGAUUUUUACAUAAAACGUUUGUGAGAAGUGAGAAUCUUCUAUAUAAAGUUUAGUUGCAGAUUAUAGGAUCUUAGUUACUCCGAAAAGCCACACAGAGGAUCUUAGCAAACCUUAGUUCUCUGCAGUACUGAACACUUUUUCCGACUCCCUGAUGCCCCCCCCCCUCUUGCCAUACGCUUCAAUAAUGCCACUUCUUUUGAAAAGUUGACGGAAUCCACAAAGCCGAAACCAACUGAACUUUUCCGGGUUUCGUCCGUCGGACCAACUACGUGCUUAGGCGAACACCAACAGACAGCUACCUGACAUACUUGGUGAGGUAAGUGCAGUCAGGAGCACAAUCAACGACCGUUCACAGGGGUCUCAACAUGUAAUGCGCUUACUCUACGUCUAGAGAGGGAUGUAACCCUCUGUGUCAGUAUAUUUGACUCCUUAGCUAUUUCCUUUCAUAAAUAAUUUUAAAGCUACAGAAGUGAGCCAAAAAUUGUCCUUGCCACCAGCAUUAAUCCAAAGAUAGUUGGAGGUUGUAAAUUUUACUAUGUGUAGUUUAUUCAUUUUAAUAUAGCUUUGGAGUAAUGCAUUGCAUAUAAUUUGUUUUUGACCGGAUAUAACUUCACAUAAAUUUGAUGUAUUCUUUGUAGGCCGGCUAUUUCUGAGCUUAACAUCUGGAACACAUAUUUACUUUGACACUGAGACAGCUCUAGGAAAAGAGAAGUUUGACAAACUGAGCUGAUGGCACAGAGCAGACGGCAGCGUCGUCAAAGGUAGCUCAUGUCCAGAAAAUUGAGCCACUCACCAUCUCUGAGCUUAAUGAAUAUGUGAUCGCUGCCCAGCCUCAGGCAUAUUCACUUAUGUAAAUUGAAAACCUCUGGAAAUUACACUACUCAUUAUACAUGUUCUUUGACGUUCCACAGAUAGUUGAGUUUCUCUGCGUUCCAGCUCAAGCUAACCGAGUCUAAAGGACCUUAAAGCGUUCGCAGAAGCAAUAGAUGUGGUUAGAGACAAAGGUGUUGCUAUGGCUGUGGCUGUGGCGUCCGCCGAAGACAUUGAUGCGGCGAACGUGCACGUCCAAACUUUUUCAGAGGUGAAGAAAGCUCUCUAAGCUGAUAAGUUUUACUGUAAUAAGAUUGAGAAUCUCUAUUAGAUUUGUUUCUCUGCUGCGAGGGAGUGUAUUGGCAAAGCUAAUAUAUUAAACGUGCGUAAAAAACUUUGUAGAAUAUGAGAGCGUAAAAAACUUGGUAGAAUUGCACUCAGAAAUUUCACCGUUGGAAUUUUGCUAGAAAGCUUACCAAAAAACUAUUUGAUGUAAUAACUCUGUAAUACUAAAUAAAUUUUCAAAAUAAUUCUGGGCGAAACUUUUCUAAAUCUACAUUUAAAUCUAAAUAACUUAACCUAAUAAUUUUACCAAAAGUUAACAACUUGCAUCAAUAUCAAUACAUAUUUUAAUUUUAAAACAAACAUACUUAAA